AAUUUCACACCUGGAUAUGCUCAGUCAACCAAGAAUAUAGAGAAAGAGCUUCUGCCCCGAGACUCAGAAAAAUAUUCUCCUCUGCUUCUCUCCACUAUAGAUUUCCUUAGACCCUCAUCUCUGCUUAACAGGUUUUGCACG